rnacentral:rRNA from 1 species
UGGGGAAUUUUGGACAAUGGGCGCAAGCCUGAUCCAGCCAUUCCGCGUGCAGGAUGAAGGCCUCGGUUGUAAACUGCUUUGUACAGAACGAAAAGGCUCUGGUUAAUACCUGGGCUCAUGACGGUACUGUGAGAAUAAGCACCGGCUAACUACGUGUCAG